rnacentral:rRNA from 1 species
GACAGAGGGUGCAAACGUUGUUCGGAAUUACUGGGCGUAAAGCGUGUGUAGGCGGCUAAGUAAGUCGGGCGUGAAAUCCCACGGCUCAACCGUGGAAGUGCACUCGAAACUGCAUAGCUAGAGUCCUGGAGAGGAAGGUGGAAUGCUUGGUGUAGAGGUGAAAUUCGUAGAUAUCGGGAGGAACACCAGUGGCGAAGGCGGCUCUCUGGACAGGUACUGACGCUGAGACGCGAAAGCGUGGGUAGCAAACAGG